rnacentral:rRNA from 1 species
GACGAACGCUGGCGGCGUGCCUAAUACAUGCAAGUUGAGCGCUGAAGGUUGGUACUUGUACCGACUGGAUGAGCAGCGAACGGGUGAGUAACGCGUGGGGAAUCUGCCUUUGAGCGGGGGACAACAUUUGGAAACGAAUGCUAAUACCGCAUAAAAACUUUAAACACAAGUUUUAAGUUUGAAAGAUGCAAUUGCAUCACUCAAAGAUGAUCCCGCGUUGUAUUAGCUAGUUGGUGAGGUAAAGGCUCACCAAGGCGAUGAUACAUAGCCGACCUGAGAGGGUGAGCGCCACCAUGGGGACGGAGACGCGCCCAAACCUCCUGCGGGAGGCAGCAGUAGGAAUUUUCGGACAAGGGACGAAGGUCUGACCGAGCAACGCCGCGUGGGUGAAGAAGUUUUGGGGUUCGAAAACCUCUGUUGGAGGAGAAAACCGUGGGGGGGGGGGAAAAGCUCAUAAGGGGAGGUUAACUACCAAAAAAGGGACGGAAAACUA